UACGUAGGGUGCAAGCGUUGUCCGGAAUUAUUGGGCGUAAAGAGCUCGUAGGCGGUCUGUCGCGUCGGAUGUGAAAACUCGGGGCUCAACCCCGAGCCUGCAUUCGAUACGGGCAGACUUGAGUUCGGCAGGGGAGACUGGAAUUCCUGGUGUAGCGGUGAAAUGCGCAGAGAUCAGGAGGAACACCGGUGGCGAAGGCGGGUCUCUGGGCCGAUACUGACGCUGAGGAGCGAAAGAGUGGGGAGCGAACAGG
rnacentral:rRNA from 1 species